UUCCUGAUUGUCCAGUGGUUAGGGCUUGGUGCUUUCACUGCCAAGGGCCCAGGUUUGAUUCUUGGUUGGAGAA
rnacentral:tRNA from 1 species